rnacentral:rRNA from 1 species
AGCGAACGCUGGCGGCAGGCUUAACACAUGCAAGUCGAGCGGGCACUUUCGGGUGUCAGCGGCGGACGGGUGAGUAACGCGUGGGAACGUGCCCUCUGGUUCGGAAUAACUCAGGGAAACUUGAGCUAAUACCGGAUACGCCCUUUUGGGGAAAGGCUUGCUGCCGGAGGAUCGGCCCGCGUCUGAUUAGCUAGUUGGUGAGGUAACGGCUCACCAAGGCGACGAUCAGUAGCUGGUCUGAGAGGAUGAUCAGCCACACUGGGACUGAGACACGGCCCAGACUCCUACGGGAGGCAGCAGUAGGGAAUAUUGGACAAUGGGCGCAAGCCUGAUCCAGCCAUGCCGCGUGAGUGAUGAAGGCCUUAGGGUUGUAAAGCUCUUUUAUCCGGGACGAUAAUGACGGUACCGGAGGAAUAAGCCCCGGCUAACUUCGUG